GUGUCAGCAGCCGCGGUAAUACGUAGGGUCCAAGCGUUAUCCGGAAUCACUGGGCGUAAAGCGUGCGUAGGCGGUCUGUUAAGUGAGAUGUUAAAGCGUGUGGCUCAACCAUAUCGUUGUGUUUCAUACUGGCAGACUAGAGGGAAGCAGAGGCAAGUGGAAUUGGCAGUGUAGCAGUGAAAUGCGUAGAGAUUGCCAGGAACACCAAUGGCGAAGGCAGCUUGCUGGGCUUCUUCUGACGCUGAGGUACGAAAGCGUGGGGAGCGAACAGGAUUAGAUACCCCUGUAGUCC
rnacentral:rRNA from 1 species